rnacentral:rRNA from 1 species
AUUGAACGCUGGCGGCAGGCCUAACACAUGCAAGUCGAGCGAGAGGCGGACGGGGGAGAGAUAUCUGGGGGACUGUGCGAUGGGGGGGGAGAACUCCUGGGAACGGGAGCUCAUACAGCAUACCAUCAGAUAUGCGCAGAUGGGAUUUGCUAGUAGGUGGGGUAAUGGCGCACCUAGGCGACGAGACCUAGCUGGUCUGAGAGGAUGACCAGCCACACUGGAACUGAGACACGGUCCAGACUCCUACGGGAGGCAGCAGUGGGGAAUAUUGCACAAUGGGCGCAAGCCUGAUGCAGCCAUGCCGCGUGUAUGAAGAAGGCCUUCGGGUUGUAAAGUACUUUCAGCGGGGAGGCGUUACCCGCAGAAGAAGCACCGGCUAACUCCGUGCCAGCAGCCGCGGUAAUUC